GAAUGGCACCACGAAGGCUAUACUGUCUCCUUUUUCUAAUCAGUGAAACUAAUCUUCCCGUGAAGAAGCGGGAAUCUACACAUAAGACGAGAAGACCCUAUGGAGCUUUAAACGAAAUAACAACUACCAUAAUAAACACCAAUUUCAGAAGUUUAACUCUUAUCCAGGUAUUUUGUUUAUAAGUUUUAGGUUGGGGUGACCGCUGAGCAAAAAACAACCUCCGCACUGAACAGGGCCGACCCUAAACAAAAAGCUACAACUUUAUGUAUCAGCACACUGACACCAAUUGACCCAAUAAUUUGAUCAACGAACCAAGUUACCCUAGGGAUAACAGCGCAAUCCAUUUCAAGAGCCCCUAUCGACAAAUGG
rnacentral:rRNA from 1 species